AUUGAACGCUGGCGGCAUGCCUAACACAUGCAAGUCGAACGGUAACAGGCCCUUCGGGGUGCUGACGAGUGGCGGAUGGGUGAGUAAUACUUAGGAAUCUACCCUGUAGUGGGGGACAACCCGGGGAAACUCGGGCUAAUACCGCAUACGCUCUACGGAGGAAAGCGGGGACCGCAAGGCCUCGCGCUAUUGGAUGAGCCUAAGCCCGAUUAGCUAGUUGGUGGGGUAAUAGCCUACCAAGGCAAUGAUCGGUAGCUGGUCUGAGAGGACGACCAGCCACACUGGGACUGAGACACGGCCCAGACUCCUACGGGAGGCAGCAGUGGGGAAUAUUGGACAAUGGGCGAAAGCCUGAUCCAGCGAUGCCGCGUGUGUGAAGAAGG
rnacentral:rRNA from 1 species